GAAACAGGGCAACUAGUGAAAUUCUUGGCUCUAAAAGCUAUGAUGAAAUAUCCACUAGCCAGAUGGUCUGGCAACUGAAAUUGUCAUGCUUUGUGAGCAUUUAUCAUGAAUUGGCAUCACAUGAGAAAAGAAAGUCUUUCUAGUGAGGAUGGAGCAGAGAUGGAAAAGUGCAACCAGCAGGUGUCUGUUGGUAACUGGCAUUGAGGUGCAGGCAAAAGGCAGAAACCUGGGACUGGGAGCUUGAGCCACUCCAACAAUUCCCAGUUGGCUGCUAUUAUUAUUGUUCCUACUUGCUUCUCACCAUUAAGCACACAGCACUGUGAAAGAAGUUCUGUUUUCAUACUCACAGCAUCUAGGAACAAAUGGACUUUUGAGCACUUUCAAAUUUCUCCUUAAGGAACUAAACUUCUUAUAUAUAUUUUCUGCAAAUGGAAACACUAACCAUUGCUGGCCAGGAGAAAGACUAAUGAAAGAAUUGUACAUUCCCUAGCUUGUGUAUCAGAAACUCCUGUGAUUUGUUAAUACCACUCAAUUUAAAAAAAAAUGUAUUUACUGUACACUCAUACCCGAAGAGAUAUCAUAAUCUAAGUCAUUCAAGUAACAAUUAUAAUAGUCAAUAUUAAAUCCCAGGCACUGCACUAAACACUUAAUGUUAUUAGAGCCACUAUGAAUUAUGAAGUACUAUCCUUGUUUUGCAGGUGAAGAAACUGAGGUUUAGAGAGUAAUUAUUUAACUUGCUUAAGGUUACUGUUAGUAAUCUGAGGGAAGAUGGAAUAUAGGCUGUGGUCUUAGCCACUAAACAUCUUUACUACUUGUCUCUCCAAAUAUAAGGUAGUGAGAUGCAUGGGGAUGUAGAGCAAGCUGUCACAAAUGUUUGAGUCAUAGAUCUAGAUCCCUUUUGCAGUUAAGUCAAACCUAGGUGAAUCUUCCCAGAAACUACACUGGUAUAAAAAAUCUUUAAAAACUUUUACAAAGCAAAGCAAGUUUAUCAGAAUAGAGCUGACAAGAUUUAAAUCUCUAAUUAAGUUACAUAUGCUUCUUAGUAACGUAUAAAAUAAGAUCGGUUACCUACCAUAAUUUUGACAUACUAAAUACAGUAAAUGAUAUUUUGAAAUACUUGCAAUAAAGGUAGUUUAAAUAGAAAAUUUUAUAUUUUGGUGCUUCUCUAUUGUCAUAAGUAAUGACAAUAAUACUAAAGGUUUGCUUAUAUUACUCAUGGAAAGAACUGUUGAAUUUUUCAUAGAAUGAAAUGAAAAUAAGAUGUAAAUUUUUCUAAUUCAGCUUCAAAAAACCUUAAAACUUCACAGUCCAUUUUGGAGACUCCAGAUUAACGGCCCUGCGUUUACAGCCAUGGUUCUCUUUAGAUCCUGUUACACCCAUUCUAUCCUUUAGGACCUUUGGUACCCAUAAUGCGAUUUGAAAAUAUUUCCCUUCUGAAUUUUGACCUCCGGAUCUGUGAAAUUAGGAUAAAAAUCUACAUCAAAGUGAUUUUGCAAAGGUAAAAUAAAAUAAUGUAAAGGUUUAAAUUAAAGAAACAGUAAUAUAUCAUGCAAAUUGUUUACCAAAUAUGUUCCCGUAAGUUCUUUGAUUACACAGGUUCAUUUCAGGGGCUAUUUCUGGGGUCUGAAAUAGAAGCCAAAGGUCAGAGCUUCCGGCAUCUAACUGACCUUUUAACCAGAUGAUUUUUGCUUUGCUUCUGUGGAAGGUCACUGAUAACAAAAAGCUGUUUGCUGGUCAUUAUAAUGCUAGAUGUUAUUAGUCUUUCAAGAUAACCAAUAUAAGAAAAGCACCUGGCUGCUUUAUUUCUUAGCAUUUAAUUCUAUGUGCUUAUUUAUUGCUAGGAAAAUGUUAGCAUUUCUUUUGAUAAAACUUUGGCCAUAGCAACUUGAGAAGAAAAAUACACACUCAAUUUGCUUCUCCAUGCCAUGUUUUGGUGACUGCUUUUUCUACAUAGCCAUUGAAAACAUCAAAUGAAAGGAAGAAGAAAUUCAUAUUUCCAAACUACCUUUCCUCCUACUGCUGACACCGAACAGAACUUUCGCUUUCUCAGUUUCAUGCAUAUGCUGAAUGAGGAUGAACAUUUGGAGAGCAGGUAAAUCCUAAAGUAAAGGAUCCCAAACUCCAUACAGCAAUUACAGAAGCACUGGGAUGAAGUAUCAUAGCGCUUGAGAGUCAUCAUGGAUGAAGUUCAUGCUGUGUGUUUUUCUGCUGAUGACAGCUCCCCAUGCAGAGCAGCCAGGGUACUGUCUUUUGGAUGCUCUGCAGGAAUGAGAUCUUUCUCUGUGAAUAAGAGCUCAGUACAGCUCCCUGCCUAAUCCAGGAUGACAUAACCAACAGUGGGAUUCAAAUUCAGGCAACCUGGCACAACAGCAAAACUUUUAAUCAUCAUUUUCCCCUACCUCUCACAGAACCAUCAUCUCUCAAAUGCAUCAAACUGUGAUUUGGGAGGCCCAGUUUCUUCCUCAGCUUGGAAAAAAAUCAGAUUCUUCUUGUAUUCUGCAUCAAAGAUGAGUAGGAAAUAAACUACCCAGAGAAAUGUUGCCAGACUGCAAGCUUAAGAACAAAGCUGAGUAUCCAUAGCCCCUUGCAUCAUCUUGCCAAUUUCUUCUUUCGCGUGUGCAUUGAAACAUGAAUAAAUACAGCAGAUUAGGAUGCCCCAGAUGACUAGGAGCUGCCUGGGAGGAUUUUAUUCUGCAAGGCUUCUGCAUAACAUGAUAGAUGGAAAUGUUCAAGAAUACUGAACAUAAAUAAAAGAUGCACACAGAAAAGAGGGAGAUUCUUAAGGCUUUUUAAAGCCAAUGUACCAUAAGGAUUUUUUUUUUCCCUAGGAUGCUGUAGGUAGGUCAUGUGAAUGGUAGUUGCUCAGUUGUUGGAUAACUAACUACUGAAUAAGCUAGAGCAGACAGCAGGAAUGAUUCAUAUCAUCAAGUUCAUAGAUAAUUGAUUGUGGUGUUCCUGUCUACUUGUUGGCCCUGUUAAUUACAUAUAAGCAGUCUCACAAAAUUAGACCAAAACAAAGUCAGAAAGUAAUAAGAUUUGUAUAUAUUUAAUAUAACACUAUUCAAAAUGGAAAAACAUGGAAAUAAGCUAAUUUUCCAAUAAUAGAUUAUUAGUUAAUUUUGCCCUAUCAGGAUAAAGCAAUAUAAUAGAAUACAGUGUUUAUGAUGAAAAUUUCAUAUAAUAAAAUGCUUACAUAUAGGUAUGAUAAUAAAAUACUGAGAGAAUUUGACAUAUGGAAAAUAAUCUUAAUAUUCCUCCUUCCUUUGUAGGAUGAAAUUCUAAGUAGUAAUAAUGAAAUAUAACAAAUAAUAGUAAUGCCCAGAAAAUAAACAUGAAUCAUAAAUUUCUUAUCUUGAGAUUUUUAUACUCAUUCCCAAAAAGAAAUGAGUAAAAUAAAAAUUUUGAAAGUUGAUUUAUUAUUUUUAUCUGUUUAAAAGGAAGAGAUAAAGAGAAACAAAGAGAGAGGGGAGAGAGAUACAGAGAAAGAAUCAUCCAUCCAAAAGUUAAUAACUAAAUACUUGUAAUAGUUGGGGCUGGGCUAGACAGAAUUUAGGAGCUAGGAACUCCACCUAGGUGUCCUACAUGGGUGGUAGGGACCCAAGUACUUGAAUCAUCACCUGCUGUCUUCCAGGGCCUAUAUUAGCAGGAAGCUGGAUUGGAAAUGGAGGUGGGACUUGAACCCAGGCACUGUGAUAUGAGACGUGGGUCUCCCAUACAGUGGUUUAAACUGCUGCACUGCAAUGUCUUCCCAGAGUAAAACAAGUUUUCUAAAGUAAAUAGUUAAAAAAAUUAAUUUAAAAAUUAUUUUUAAAAGAUGAGGAGAGGACUCUCACAGAGAGAUACUUCUAAAAGGUCAAUUUCUCAAUGUUUCAGAGAAUAAUUUGUAUCUAGAAGGACAAAAUUGAAGUAACUGAAGUUCUGUUUUUCAUCUUUACAACCACUAUUCUACCACUGUUUAUUUAUUUAUUUAUUUGACAGACAGAGUGGACAGUGAGAGAGAGAGACAGAGAGAAACCACUGUUUAUUUUAAAUCUACUAGUCAAGUGCAGGAAUAUAGCUCACUGAACUGAAUACAUGAACUGUUCCCAAAGGGGGCUCCCGUGAUUCUAAACCCUACAGACCUUGUUUUCCAGAGGAGUGGAAGCCUGUUACUGGCCAUGUAGGGAAUCCUUUGAAUUAACACCUGCUACAUUUUGAAUGUGAUUUGUCUUCUCAACUCACACUGACAUUUGAUUGCCAAAGUCAUGCUUGGUGUGAUUAUUGUGUUUAGGGGGCAAGUCUCUGGAGCAUCCCUAGGUUACCAGAAGUGUGCACUCAGAAGGCAGUUCUCCCAAGAGGGCUGAGCAUCUAGGCCCUACUCAUGCACAGUCAGUCUUUCUGCCAUACUCCUUCUCUCCCUCCUUCCCGACUCACCGUGUGAUCCUUCCCCUGCACAUACUCGACCAUCGGUCCUCCUCAGACGCCAAACCAAUGGGUUACUCUGUCUUGGAUUGUGAACCUCCAAAACUUUAAGUCAAAAAUAAACCUCUUCUUCAUAGGUAGGUUGUCUUAGGCACUUAGUUGUGUAACUAAAAGCUGACUAAUACAAUUUCCAUGUAGAUUAUAAAGUCUUUCAUUCUACAAAUAAUGAGAAAGUGCUAAUUUGAAAACUAAAUAAAUAUUAUAUCAGUAAAGUAUGUCAAUGUUUUCCCCAAUUAUUUAGAGAUCAUACCUACAAGCAAAGUAUUAUAGGGUAAGGAAUAUUUUGUCACUGAUAUAUAGAAUUACUGAAGCAUUGUGAGAAUAAAAAGGCAGCUGAAUUUCAGUUGGCAUUGUUAAUUAAUUACUACUCAUAAUUUCUCUAUAAUAACAUCAUCCCUUAUUGCUUGCACCUGAGGUGAACCACAAUCAUUGUCCUAUUACUAAAAUGCCACUGAUGAUACAUCUCAGAAAAAGAAGAAAUAAAAUCGCAUGUUUGUCACUGGAAAGGAGACUUUGAAGCUGCCUUCUCAAGGAAGUUUGAGGUUUCUGCCACCUGUGAUACCUGAAACUAAAUGUGCUACCUGGGCAAGGAUUGAUUAAGCCAGGAAAGAGAUGUCCCAUAUUGGACGAUGGCUAACAGACUGAUCAGAGCGUUUCCUGGAGAAAUAGCAUUGCCAAGUUCAUGGAUAAGACAGGUUGUUGACAUUUGAGUAUUCCCUAGCUAUUGUUUUGGUUAUUUAUUAAAUCAAUCUUGGUAACACUGAUAUGUAGGUAAUUUAUCUGCCAUAUUUUGGGGGAGUUUGUUGCAAUAAACCUUUUAUCAUCUUAGCUUAUUUCUGUUGGUCAAAUUGGAAGAGUGGUUUACCUUAAAAUGUGAACAAAUAAAAUAAAGAUACAAUAUAGACACUAGCAGAGACUACAUAAAAAUUUAAGGUUAGGUUAUCUGGGUUGAAAAGUAAAGCUUUUUUUGUUAGCAUUUUUCUCUGUUUCUUGUAAUAUACCAUAAGCAUGUGCUGGCAGCAUUUCAGGAAUAAAAUUAUGAGAUAACAAUAUUUUCUAAUUCAACUUGAUUGGCUUUAAAAAGAGAGAAGGAACAAUGUUAUAUCUAAAUUCCUUACACAGAAGUAAAUUUGCUUUUCUUGCGAGAAAAAAAUAAACCUAACGAGUACACAAACUAAAAGGGCUCUAACCUGCUGAGAUUAAAUACAGUUUAUCUGGGCUGGAUAUCUUAAUUUUUAUUACUAUGCUGUAGGACAAACAUUCCAUUUGAAGUUCUUGCAGAAUAUUAAGAGACCAACAUAAUGGUCAGGUAGGUACCUUGAACUGCACAGGUGAGGUGGGUUAUUGCUUUGAACAAUCUCUUGCCUAUACUGAAAGGUUAUUUUUGAAGACAAGAGUACCGAAUGUUCCAAGUUCUCCCUGUUGUCAUGGAAACCUUUCAGCUAGCUGAAUAGGUUAGCAGGAUUUUAUGUUCUCCACUUUGACAAAUACAAGGAGACAUGAUCCCAGCUUUGCAUUACUAAUCAGAAAACUUUUGUUUUCAAGUCUUCUAGCACUUGAUUAGUCACAUUUGCUGAAUGUUUUUCCCCCUCCACAACAUACAGCAACAGGCAAGUUUUCUUUCAGAAAUCAUUCCCACUGUAGAAGCAGGGCCAACAUCAUGACUGGGCUGACCUUGUUGUGUUUGGCAGCAAUACUGCUUGCAGCUCUGAAAGGCUCCUGCAGAUUAAUUUAGGCUCCUGCCGUAACUCUUCUGAUUUGUACUGACUUUCAGUGGUUUCCUGGAGGUAAACUCACUUGCUAAUAGGCAGAAAUUAUUCCUCAUUUUAGCAGCAACAGAAUGCCAACCCUAGCUUAUAAAGCAUAGGUAAGCUUUAGGAAAAAGGCACCCUAAGGCUAAAACCAAAACACCAAUGUCACGUGGGUAAACUCAGAUCCAGCAGAUCUGACUUUUCCCUCUCAUUUUUCUGUAACAACCCUCUACAUUGCUUUGUAAGGUAGAAGUGGUCUAAGAAUCCAUAGGCAAACUGGACUGCUAACAACUGCAUUGCAGCAAAAGACUGACCAAUGUGAGUGAGCUUGCUGAAGCUGGAAUUUGCUGGGCUUCUUUAAGAGUCAUCACACUCAGAGAGCCUGUAUGUGCAUGGCGAGGGAGUUAAUAAAGUGUCUCAUAGCUUUAGGCUUGUUAAGUAUCAUACCAAUUAAUAAUUUAGUAUAAUGCAACUAUUAUAAGGUAGACUUUUGUUGUUGUUGUUAAGGGAGAGAGAGGGAGGAAGGAGAGAGAGAGAGAGAGAGAGAGAGAGAUCUAUUGAUCUUCUGUCCAUUGGUUCAUUUCCAGGAUGACUACAAUGAAGUCAGGAGCUUCCUUUGGGUCUCCCACGAGGCUGGUAGGGGCCAAAACACCUAGGCCAUCUUCUACUGCUUUUCCCAGGCCACUAGCAGGGAGCUGGAUCAGAAGUAGAGCAACUGGACAUGUACUGGCGUCCAUAUGGGAAUGCAGCGUUGCAGGAGGCCACUUUACCCACUAUACCAAAAUGCUGGCCCCUGGA